rnacentral:rRNA from 1 species
AUCGAACGCUGGCGGCAUGCCUAACACAUGCAAGUCGAACGAGACCUUCGGGUCUAGUGGCGCACGGGUGCGUAACGCGUGGGAAUCUACCCUUGGGUUCGGAAUAACAGUUAGAAAUGACUGCUAAUACCGGAUGAUGACGUAAGUCCAAGGAUUUAUCGCCCAAGGAUGAGCCCGCGUAAGAUUAGCUUGUUGGUGGGGUAAUGGCCUACCAAGGCGACGAUCUUUAGCUGGUCUGAGAGGAUGAUCAGCCACACUGGGACUGAGACACGGCCCAGACUCCUACGGGAGGCAGCAGUGGGGAAUAUUGGACAAUGGGCGAAAGCCUGAUCCAGCAAUGCCGCGUGAGUGAUGAAGGCCUUAGGGUUGUAAAGCUCUUUUACCAGGGAUGAUAAUGACAGUACCUGGAGAAUAAGCUCCGGCUAACUCCGUGCCAGCAGCCGCAGUAA